rnacentral:rRNA from 1 species
UAAUAGCUCACUAGUCGAGUCGGCCUGCGCGGAAGAUGUAACGGGGCUAAAACUAUAUGCCGAAGCUGCGGAUUUGCAAUUUAUUGCAAGUGGUAGGGGAGCGUUCUGUAAGCCGAUGAAGGUGUAUUGAGAAGUAUGCUGGAGGUAUCAGAAGUGCGAAUGCUGACGUGAGUAACGACAAUGCGAGUGAAAAACUCGCACGCUGAAAGACCAAGGGUUCCAGUCCAACGUUAAUCGGGGCUGGGUGAGUCGACCCCUAAGGCGAGGCCGAGAGGCGUAGUCGAUGGGAAAUUGGUUAAUAUUCCAAUACUUCUGUGUAAUGCGAUGAGAGGACGGAGAAGGUUAAGUCAGCCUGGCGUUGGUUGUCCAGGUGGAAGGUUGUAGGCAUGUAUCUUAGGCAAAUCCGGGGUACUCUAUGCUGAGAACUGAUAGCAAGCUGUACUUGUACAGUGAAGUGGCUGAUACCAUGCUUCCAGGAAAAGUCUCUAAGCUUCAGUUACAUAGGAAUCGUACCCGAAACCGACACAGGUGGUCAGGUCGAGUAGACCAAAGCGCUUGAGAGAACUCUGCUGAAGGAACUAGGCAAAAUGGUACCGUAACUUCGGGAGAAGGUACGCUGCCGACGGUGAUAGGAUUUACUCCUUGAGCUAUUGGCAGCCACAGAAACCAGGCCCCUGCAACUGUUUAUUAAAAACAUAGCACUCUGCAAACACGAAAGUGGACGUAUAGGGUGUGAUGCCUGCCCGGUGCUGGAAGGUUAAUUGAUGGGGUUAGCGUAAGCGAAGCUCUUGAUCGAAGCCCCAGUAAACGGCGGCCGUAACUAUAACGGUCCUAAGGUAGCGAAAUUCCUUGUCGGGUAAGUUCCGACCUGCACGAAUGGCAUAAUGAUGGGGGCGCUGUCUCCAGCAGAGACUCAGUGAAAUCGAAUUCGCCGUGAAGAUGCGGUGUACCCGCGGCUAGACGGAAAGACCCCGUGAACCUUUACUGCAGCUUGACAUUGAACUUUGAUCUUACUUGUGUAGGAUAGGUGGGAGGCUUUGAAACCGAGACGCUAGUUUCGGUGGAGCCAAUCUUGAAAUACCACCCUGGUAAUAUUGAGGUUCUAACUCUGCUCCAUUAUCUGGAGCGAGGACCAUGUCUGGUGGGUAGUUUGACUGGGGCGGUCUCCUCCUAAAGAGUAACGGAGGAGUACGA